AUUGAACGCUAGCGGGAUGCUUUACACAUGCAAGUCGAACGAGUGGCGUACGGGUGAGUAAUAUAUCGGAACGUGCCCAGCAGAGGGGGCUAACUAAUCGAAAGAGUGGCUACUACCGCAUACUAUUGGAGCGGCCGACAUCGGAUUAGCUAGUUGGGGGGGUAAAGGCUCACCAAUGCAAAGAUCCGUAGCUGGUUUGAGAGGACGAACAGCCAAACUUGGGUUGAGACACGGCCCAGACUCCUACGGGAGGCAGCAGUGGGGAAUUUUGGGCAAUGGGAGAAACCCUGAGCCAGCCAUCCCGCGUGUAUGAGAAGGCCUUCGGGUUGUAAAGUACUUUUGGCAGAGAAGCGGUAUCGGCAGAAUAAGCACCGGCUAACUACGUGCCAGCAGCCGCGGUAAUAC
rnacentral:rRNA from 1 species